rnacentral:misc_RNA from 1 species
GAUGAAGAACGCAGCGAAAUGCGAUAAGUAAUGUGAAUUGCAGAAUUCAGUGAAUCAUCGAAUCUUUGAACGAACAUUGCGCCCGGGAGCAUUCUCCCGGGCAUGCCUGUUCGAGCGUCAUUUCAACCCUCGAUUUCCCUUUGGGGAAGUCGGCCGUUGGAGAUCGGCAGCACUGCCGGCUCCCAAAUACAGUGGCGACCCGCCGCGGGGACCCCUGCGUAGUAACUUACACUCGCACCGGAAACCAGACGUGUCACGCCGUAAAACCCCCAACUUUCUGAACGUUGACCUCGGAUCAGGUAGGAAUACCCGCUGAACUUAAGCAUAUCAAUAAGCGGAGGA